rnacentral:lncRNA from 1 species
GGAAACUCAUUUUAUUUGCUUUUGUUUCGUGAAUUUUGAGCAGAUGCGGUUGAUCCUGAGUCAAUGACUGAAAAUGCAGUGGAAAAUGAUGAUAAAGAAAAACUGCCUUCACAACUUCUGGGAUUGAGAUCAAUUGCUAAUCCAGAUGAGUCUUAUAUAAUCAAGGAGCGGAUGUCACAGGCUCUUCGAUACUUUAAAGAUUUGACUGGAGAGCAUGUCUUGGCUCAAGUUUGGGCACCAGUUAAGAAUGGUGGUCGGUAUGUGCUGACUACUUCGGGGCAGCCCUUUGUUCUUGACCCUAACAGUAAUGGACUUCAUCAGUAUAGGCUAGUCUCUCUGAUGUAUAUGUUUUCUGUGGAUGGAGUGACUGAGGGAGCCCUUGGACUUCCUGGUCGUGUAUUUCGGCAAAAGUUACCUGAAUGGACACCUAACGUGCAGUACUAUUCUAGCAAGGAAUUUCCACGGCUGGACCAUGCUCUGAAUUAUAACGUUCGCGGAACUUUGGCUUUGCCUGUAUUUGAACCUUCUGGACAGUCCUGUGUUGGUGUACUUGAGCUCAUAAUGACUUCCCAGAAAAUUAAUUAUGCUCCUGAGGUUGAUAAAGUAUGCAAAGCACUUGAGGUUGGUUAAGCAUUCUCUUCAUAAUACAUCAUUAUUUCAAGAUCUUGCAUUUUUUGGUAGGAACUGUUAAAGAUUCCUUGAUAAAAAUUGCAGCAAGGAUUAGUGACUGUCUGAUUGUAGCAAUCAUAAUAACUGCGUUCUUUUAUGUGUGAGAAGCUUCUAAAAUUUUUAUCCCUAGGAAUUAUUUCCAGAAUUGGAUAUAGGAGAAUGGCACUUCUUUCUGAAAUAUGGCCUCUAGCAGCAUGACAUUGAUAGACACUUUAAUGUCAUUUUCUACUACUAAGAUUUUAAGAACCUAUACCUUUAAAAUUUCACUGGAUGAUGGAUUUGCUUUUCACAUACGAAAUGGAAGCUUUAUUGUGAGAUUGGAUUUAUUUACUUCAUAUAUGUUAUAGAUACCAAAGUGCUAAACAUGACGAUGUGCUUAAAAAGAUUUAUUACACUGGAGUAAGAUAAGCAUUUCGUGUCAAUAAAAUGGUAAAUCUUAUUUGUCUCGUGCAACACGUUCUAUUCAUUAUUUUUUGAUGAUAUCAAUUUGUUUGUGUUCUAACUUCUACCCAUUAGGAUUCUUCAGUUACAUAAAUUCAGUUGUUCUGCAGGCUGUGAAUUUGAAAAGUUCAGAGAUUUUGGAUCAUCCCAGCACACAGGUAAGCAGCAAAUUUUAAGUGAAGAUCAUAUCUAUAAUGAAGUAAUUGAGCCUGUGUUUGACAACCAGUAAAAUGAAAUUUUUGGGGAAAAUGAGUUUUGGAAUAAUGAUUUUUUUGGAGAAUAUGUGGUUAAAAAAUAGCAAAAAAGUUUGGAUUUACGUGUAAAAUAUUUUAUUUUGAAAAUGUGUAGUCGAAAAUGAGUUUGAGAACAAAAGAGUUUUGUUAUACUGAUUGUCAAACAGGGCCAUAAUUUUCUGAUCAAAUAAUCUAUUUGGCUAUCGUGUACACACCAGAUAUGCAACCAAGGUCGCCAAAAUGCGCUGGCUGAGAUCUUGGAGAUACUAACAAUGGUAUGUGAGACUCACACAUUACCGCUGGCUCAGACAUGGAUUCCUUGCAGACAUCGGAAUGUCCUAGCAGAUGGCGGAGGUUUUAAGAAAACUUGCAGUAGCUUUGAUGGAAGUUGCAUGGGACAGGUAUGCAUGUCAACAACUGAUGUAUCAUAUUAUGUGGUAGAUGCGCAUAUGUGGGGCUUCCGCGAGGCCUGUGCCGAGCAUCACUUACAGAAGGGCCAGGGAGUUGCCGGGAGGGCAUUUGAGUCGCAUAACUUGUGCUUCUGUGACGAUAUCACCCAAUUCUGCAAAACAGAGUAUCCCUUGGUACAUUAUGCUCGCAUGUUUGGGUUGAAAAGUAGCAUCGCAAUUUGUUUACGGAGCCGUCAUACUGGAAAUGACGAUUACGUUUUAGAAUUCUUUCUUCCUCCAAAUAUCCAAGACCAGAGUGACCAAAGGACUUUGUUGGAUGCAGUGUUGAUGACAAUGAAACAGCAUUUUGGGAGCCUGAGGGUUGCUUCAGGGAAUGACCUCGAACAUGAAUGGAGAUCUGUUGAGAUUAUAAAAGCAUCCAUGGAUGAGAAAUUUGAUUCAAGGUUUGAUUUUGCUGCAAAUUCUCCCCUAAAGUCUGCUGCCUUGCCAAAUGAAGAGGCAGUGCAUCUUCAUUCACUGGAAAAGCAGCAAUUGGAAGGAUUUAAUGCUACUAAUAAUGAAGAAAAUGCUGUAUCUUUUGUUGAGAAUAAAGAACAGGUCAAGAAAUCAGAGAGAAAACGAGGAAAGGCAGAGAAGACGAUCAGCCUAGAGGUUCUGCAGCAAUACUUCGCCGGGAGUCUUAAGGAUGCUGCCAAGAGUCUUGGUGGUAUGCUUUAAUCUUAGUGCCCGUUGCUUAUCAUUUUAUUCACUUCAAAUGAUUCUCUUGAAUAAUUAUAAUUAUAAUUUAUUUUUAUUUUAUUAUUAUUAUUAUUAUUUUUUUUUUUGUGACUUAUACAGUUUGUCCUACUACCAUGAAGCGCAUCUGCAGGCAACAUGGGAUCUUAAGAUGGCCCUCUCGUAAGAUUAACAAAGUUAAUCAUUCUCUUUCUAAGCUAAAACGCGUAAUUGAAUCUGUACAAGGUGCUGAAGGAGCAUUCAGUUUGACUUCUUUGGCUACAAAUUCGAUUCCUGUUGCUGUUGGUUCAAUUUCAUGGUCAGCAAGUAUGAACGAGCCGCCUGAUCAACAAAGUUCACCAAGGCCUAGACCAUCUGAAUUUCGAGAGGAUGAGCAUGAACUUCCUACCCUUCAGGCAUCUGGAGGCGAUGAACUGACAGAGAUUUUAGGAACUGAGGAACUUAUCCCGCAGCAAACUGGAACUUUGCUCUGUGAAGGUUCUAUCAGAUCAAAAACAGGGAGUAGGUCGAGAGAAGAAAGCACAGGAACCCCAACUUCUUAUGGUUCAUGCCAAGAUAGUCCUUUUCUUGGAAAUGAAAACUCCCUACAAAAUGAUCCAGCCGUUUCACUUGUCAAUGAAAAUCACAUAAAACUCACGAGUUCACUUGAGUUUACAUGUCAACCAAUGAAGGAGAUUAAUUUAUCCGUUGCAUUGUCGUUACCCAAACCCGAUGAUUUUGUUACAGCACCCCGAGAGCCAUUUGGAGAAAUGCUAAUUGAGGAUGCAGGAAGCUCACGCAAUCUUUGUAAUCUUUGCCCAGAUCGUGAGACUUUGUUUGAUGAACACGUCCCAGAAUACAGUGGGACGAAACAACCAUGUUUUGAUGCAAUUCCCAGUUCCACGGUUGUUCCUAUUGAUCGAAUGCCACAGGUUUCUACCGGGACAGAACUGAAAACCAUCACGAUAAAAGCCACUUACCAAGAAGAUAUUAUUAGGUUUCGACUCUCUUUGGGCUCGGGCAUUGUCACGUUGAAGGAGGAAGUGGCAAAGAGGCUGAAGAUGGAGGUUGGCACGUUUGAUAUCAAGUACUUAGACGACGAUCAUGAGUGGGUUCUAAUUGCUUGUGACGCAGACUUGCAGGAAUGCAUUGAUGUUUCGAGGUCGUCAGGUAGAAAUAUAAUCAGACUGUUGAUUCAUGAUAUAAUGGGCAAUCUUGGGAGCUCCUGCGAGAGUUCGGGUGAAUGAGGAAUAGGGUUGUACAUAGUAAGCUCGUAGGAAAAUUCUUGCAGUCUCUGGUGAGUUCAAGUGUAAUUGUAAAUUUUGAUUAUGACCCUUCUUAAAUUUUAAGAAUUUAGUUGAUUUUUGAGCAUUUAGA